rnacentral:rRNA from 1 species
UACGUAGGGUGCAGGCGUUACUCGGAAUUACUGGGCGUAAAGCGUGCGCAGGCGGUUUCUUAAGUCAGAUGUGAAAGCCCCGGGCUUAACCUGGGAACUGCGUUUGAAACUGGGAGACUGGAGUGUGGCAGAGGGGGGUGGAAUUCCACGUGUAGCAGUGAAAUGCGUAGAUAUGUGGAGGAACACCGAUGGCGAAGGCAGCCCCCUGGGUUAACACUGACGCUCAUGCACGAAAGCGUGGGGAGCAAACAGG